rnacentral:rRNA from 1 species
UACGAAGGGGGCUAGCGUUGUUCGGAAUUACUGGGCGUAAAGCGCACGUAGGCGGACAUUUAAGUCAGGGGUGAAAUCCCGGGGCUCAACCUCGGAACUGCCUUUGAUACUGGGUGUCUUGAGUGUGGAAGAGGUCAGUGGAAUUGCGAGUGUAGAGGUGAAAUUCGUAGAUAUUCGCAGGAACACCAGUGGCGAAGGCGACUACCUGGCCUGUUCUUGACGCUGAGGCGCGAAAGCUAGGGGAGCAAACGGGG